rnacentral:lncRNA from 1 species
AGGUCCCAGAGAUUGAACGUGACAUGUGUUUAAAGGAGUUUCUUGUGCUAAAAUCAUGUAUGCAGAACAUGGUACUCUUGGUUCAUACAUAUGCAAGCACAUAUAAUGUUUCCUAGUGGUUAGAGCUUCUCUCCAAUAGUGGCUUCGCAUUAUAGGGAUAAAUAAAGGUACAUAAGAGGAGCCUGAUUUGACCUUUUGAUCCAUUAGAAGAAUGAGCCUAAGCUUUUAGAAAUCG